AUUGAACGCUGGCGGCAUGCCUAACACAUGCAAGUCGAGCGAGCGGCGGACGGGUGAGUAAUGUAUGGGGACUGCCCGAUAGAGGGGGAUAACUACUGGCAACGGUUGCUAAUACCGCAUACUAUCGGAUAACCCAUAUGGGAUUAGCUAGUUGGUGGGGUAAAGGCUCACCUAGGCGACGAUCGCUAGCUGGUGUGAUAGGAUGAUCAGCCACACUGGGACUGAGAACAGGCCCAGACUCCUAAGGAGGCAGCAGUGGGGAAUAUUGCACAAUGGGCGAAAGCCUGAUGCAGCCAUGCCGCGUGUAUGAAGAAGGCCUUAGGGUUGGAAAGUACUUUCAGCAGUGAAGCGUUACCCGCAGAAUAAGCACCGGCUAACUCCGUGCCAGCCGCCGCGGUAAUAC
rnacentral:rRNA from 1 species